GACAGAGGCCUCAAGCGUUAGGCGGAAUCACUGGGCUUAAAGCGUGUGUAGGCGGAUCGUUAAGUACCUUGUGAAAUCCCACGGCUCAACCGUGGAACUGCUGGGUAUACUGGCGGUCUUGAGCCACCUAGGGGCAACUGGAACAAGCGGUGGAGCGGUGAAAUGCGUAGAGAUCGGAAAGAACAUCAGUGGCGAAAGCGGCUUCCUGGUCCAGCACCGACGUUCAGGCACGAAAGCGUGGGGAGCAAACAGG
rnacentral:rRNA from 1 species